rnacentral:rRNA from 1 species
UAAUACGAAGGGGGCUAGCGUUGUUCGGAAUUACUGGGCGUAAAGCGCGCGCAGGCGGCUUGGUAAGUUGGGGGUGAAAUCCCUGGGCUCAACCCAGGAAUGGCCUUCAAGACUGCUUGGCUGGAGGACGAGAGAGGUGAGUGGAAUUCCCAGUGUAGAGGUGAAAUUCGUAGAUAUUGGGAAGAACACCGGUGGCGAAGGCGGC